CAGCCGCCGCGGUAAUACGAAGGGGGCUAGCGUUGCUCGGAAUGACUGGGCGUAAAGGGCGCGUAGGCGGUUCGUACAGUUGGAUGUGAAAUUCCUGGGCUUAACCUGGGGGCUGCAUUCAAUACGUGCGGGCUUGAGUGUGGAAGAGGGUUGUGGAAUUCCCAGUGUAGAGGUGAAAUUCGUAGAUAUUGGGAAGAACACCGGUGGCGAAGGCGGCAACCUGGUCCAUAACUGACGCUGAGGUGCGAAAGCGUGGGGAGCAAACAGGAUUAGAUACCCCUGUAGUCCCUGUCUCUUAACA
rnacentral:rRNA from 1 species